GCCUUAAUAGCUCAGUUGGCUAGAGCGUCGGUAUGUCACACAACUCAUUAGCCAAUCAAAUCACCCUCUAACAAUCAUAACAGCACUAGUACGACUAGACAUGCGGAGGUCCACGGUUCAACUCCGUGUUGAGGCA